rnacentral:sRNA from 1 species
CAGAAAAUGAUUUCACAAAAACAGAGUGUUCAUAUAGUUGCAUUGCAUUUAGGAUCGAGUCUAGAGUGUUUCGUUUAGGAUUGUUGCAUAUGCAUAGGGCAUAACUCAGUGCCCUCGUUAUUAGUUGUCUGAUGCGCAGUCAAUGAAAUUAAAGUAAAAUUGUACCAUGCCUAGAUUGCUCUACUCGAUCACACUGUCAUGAUUUGAUACCAUUCCCUAUCAAUUUGAACCUAAAUCUGAUUUUCAAUUAUCAUGUCUACGUCAAUUUGAACUCAUGGAUACCCUAAAAUACUUGGAUUUUCUUAUUCAUUUUAACCACUCUUGUUAAUCUAAGUAGCUGACUCUCCUUAUUAGUGCAGUUAAUCCGAACCCAAACCUAAACUUUCUUUCAAGCCCUAUAUCACUUGUUAGUGUUUGUGAGGUCUUAUUCCGAUUAAGCUUGGUAGAAAGUAUUAGGUUUGUAGCGACAUAGAUAGUGUCUCAUGUAGUUCUAGUUCGCGUUAUCCGAAUUAUAUAGAACUAGGUGGGCGCUUAUACUCUGGGUUGGGAUGUGUCUAAAAGAAAGAAAAGGGUGGAUUCAUUGGUAAGGAAAGGUAAAAGACUCUAGGGUGAAGUAAGCUAAAGAAGCAGAAAAAAUCUAGUAAAGGUUUUGGGAUUUGUAAAGAAAAGAAAAGGAUUCUUGUUAGCUAAUGAAGAAGGGCAAAAGCCCUCAGUUUUAAAAUUUUUUAACAGGAACCUUAGUUGUUAAAGAAAUUCAAAUCCGCUAGAUAUAUCAAAGUGUUGAGAAAGCUUCUCCUAGAGUUAAGAGAAAAGAAAAGAAUGAUUAGCAAAAGGGCUUAAAAGAUUCAUGAAUGCAAAGGGUAGAUUUA